rnacentral:rRNA from 1 species
UAGUCUAUUAUGAUCCUGGCUCAGGGAUGNCNCGCUGGNUUAGCGUGCUAACACAUGCAAAAGGUCGAACGUGAGGGCAUAUGUAUGUCUGAAUGACGGGUGAGUAAUACGUAGGUACUNGGCCUCGGAGUUGGGGGGAUAACCACUGGAAAAACGGUGGCUAAUACCGCAUGGGUCUAUUUGAGUGGGAGCUCAGAUGGAUAAAGCUUAAGUGCUUCGAGAGGGGCCUGCGUCCGAUUAGCUAGUUGGUGGGGU